CACUCCUGCGGGAGGCAGCAGUGGGGAAUAUUGCACAAUGGGCGCAAGCCUGAUGCAGCCAUGCCGCGUGUAUGAAGAAGGCCUUCGGGUUGUAAAGUACUUUCAGCGGGGAGGAAGGCGAUAAGGUUAAUAACCUUGUCGAUUGACGUUACCCGCAGAAGAAGCACCGGCUAACUCCGUGCCAGCAGCCGCGGUAAUACGGAGGGUGCAAGCGUUAAUCGGAAUUACUGGGCGUAAAGCGCACGCAGGCGGUCUGUCAAGUCGGAUGUGAAAUCCCCGGGCUCAACCUGGGAACUGCAUUCGAAACUGGCAGGCUAGAGUCUUGUAGAGGGGGGUAGAAUUCCAGGUGUAGCGGUGAAAUGCGUAGAGAUCUGGAGGAAUACCGGUGGCGAAGGCGGCCCCCUGGACAAAGACUGACGCUCAGGUGCGAAAGCGUGGGGAGCAAACAGGAUUAGAUACCCUUGUAGUCCCA
rnacentral:rRNA from 1 species